GAGUACCCAGGUAACCAGGGAGGUUGUGGGUGGGGUCACCCGGCUAUCACGUGGCGGGACUCCGCCAAUCGGCGCGCAGACCGCACUUUGCGGCUCGGCUUCAAACAAACUACCGUGAGGUCAGCUCCGCCGAGGGGGCGGCGAAGGAGGAGCCCAAGAGGAGGUCGGCGAGGUUGUCGGCUAAACCUGCUCCUGCGAAAGUGGAAACGAAGCCAAAAAAGGCGGCCGGAAAGGAUAAAUCUUCAGACAAAAAAGUGCAAACAAAGGGGAAAAGGGGAGCAAAGGGAAAACAGGCUGAAGUGGCUAACCAAGAAGCGAAAGAAGACUUACCUGCAGAAAACGGAGAAACUAAAGAUGAGGAGAGUCCAGCCUCCGAUGAAGCAGGAGAGAAAGAAGCCAAGUCCGAUUAAUACGCAUACCAUGUCUUAUCAGUGGUCCCUGUCUCCCUUCUUGUACAAUCCAGAGGAAUAUUUUUAUCAACUAUUUUGUAAAUGCAAGUUUUUUAGUAGCUCUAGAAACAUUUUUAAGAAGGAGGGAAUCCCACCUCAUCCCAUUUUUUAAGUGUAAAUGCUUUUUUUUAAGAGGUGAAAUCAUUUGCUGGUUGUUUAUUUUUUGGUACAACCAGGAAAUAGUGGGAUAUUGAAUGUGGGAGGCUUUGAUUGUCUUGGGUGUCAGCUCAACAUUCCAUAGAUGGGGUAGUUUUUAUAUCCUAUAAUACCAAGCAUACUAAAUGGCAUUUUGGAGUCAGUCGUGCAUUUAAUAUGUCUUGAAUAUUUUAAAUUACUUCUGUUCCCGUGUUGUUUUUGGUAGAAUUGUUUCCUAAAGAAAACCACUCCUAGAUCUUGGCUCUCCCUGUCAGAAUUCUUGUGCAGUCUGUCACAUCUUGGUCGUGGUAGUCCAGUUUUCCUAGUAACACUGUUAAUGUGCUGUGCAAGAUUGAAAAUUUGAGUAUGUAGUGUAUAUGAUAUUAAAUUGUGAAUUAAUGGGACUUAACAAUGUAACAGUGUAUCAGCAUUUGAAGAUAUUGGUACUUGAUAUACUGUUAAGGAAAAUUUGCCUCCAAAUUUUAAGCUGGAAGGUCACUGGAAUAACUUCUAGAAAAGAAUUACAACUACAUGAUUUUUUAGAUUUUCGGUACGUAUGUUAAGAAUUGUGUACAAAUUGAAAUGUCUGUACUGAUCCUCAGAACAACCAAUAAAAACUCAAUUAUGAAACA
ensembl:lncRNA high mobility group nucleosome binding domain 1